rnacentral:SRP_RNA from 2 species
GCUGAGCAUGGUGGUGGGUGCCUGUAAUCCCAGCUACUUGGGAGGCUGAGGCAGGAGAAUUGCUUGAACCCAGGAGGCGGAGGUUGCAGUGAGCUGAGAUCACGCCACUGCACUCCAACCUGGGUGACAGAGCAAGACUCUGUCUCCU